rnacentral:rRNA from 1 species
GACAGAGGGUGCAAACGUUGUUCGGAAUUACUGGGCGUAAAGCGUGUGUAGGCGGCUAAGUAAGUCGGAUGUGAAAGCCCUGGGCUCAACCCAGGAAGUGCACUCGAUACUACCCAGCUUGAGUAUCGGAGAGGUUGGUGGAAUUCUCGGUGUAGAGGUGAAAUUCGUAGAUAUCGAGAGGAACACCGGUGGCGAAGGCGGCCAACUGGACGAAUACUGACGCUGAGACACGAAAGCGUGGGGAGCAAACAGG